CAGCCGCCGCGGGAAUACGUAGGGUGCAAGCGUUAAUCGGAAUUACUGGGCGUAAAGCGUGCGCAGGCGGUUCGCUAAGACAGAUGUGAAAUCCCCGGGCUUAACCUGGGAACUGCAUUUGUGACUGGCGGGCUAGAGUAUGGCAGAGGGGGGUAGAAUUCCACGUGUAGCAGUGAAAUGCGUAGAGAUGUGGAGGAAUACCGAUGGCGAAGGCAGCCCCCUGGGCCAAUACUGACGCUCAUGCACGAAAGCGUGGGGAGCAAACAGGAUUAGAUACCCGAGUAGUCCCUGUCUCUUAUAA
rnacentral:rRNA from 1 species